AACCUAGAGGAAUAGGGCUUUGUCCCCGCCUCCGGGGAACUAGGAGGCUGGACCUGAAGAUAUAUGGGCUAUAAAGCAGCUGCCAUCGUACAAGGCAAACGCGUUAAAGGUCAGGUGCUAAGGAAGCCUUCUAAAUGAGGUUGCCACUGGUGACCUUUCAGCUAAAUGAGAAGGAGCCCAUGAAACCAGAGGAGUUGAAGGGAUGGCUUUUCCUGGGGAGGGAACAGGAUGAGCAAAGACAGGGAAGAGGAGAGCACCCGGCUUGUUGCAGGAAGUGGGACUAGGCCAGUUUGAGGGAAGUGUAGAAUUUGAGCAGGAAAGUACUGUGAGGUAAGUGGGAAACGUAGAUUGGUGCCUUCUUGGGCCCACUUGGACGAAAAGCAAGCUUAUUUUAUCCAUCAUGGCUUACUGAAUCCGAGAAGCCUUCUAGUGUUUAUGUGAAGUGUAUGUAGGUAUUUAUGAAAUUAGAGACGCAGGUCAACAUAUUUUUUCAGUGACUUACUUAUUCACCGUUCCUGAUGAGAACCAAACGUUUGGCAGCCCUUUAUCCUUUAUUAUGCGCAUACUCAAGCUUCAAGCACGAGGCAAAGACGACCACUUCAAAGCUCAGAAGAAAUGCUGAGAACACAGAGAAGGAUGGUGUCUAUAAGACCCAGAUAAACAACUCAACAUUAAUGAGAAGGUUGUUAAUAGUAAUAACUUCACUUUAUCCUCUGGGUGGUAUGAAGAGUCCAGUCCUAAAGAUUUGCAGCUCGAAGAACUUGAUUGCAGGUUCACCAUGGUUGAUUGGUCUCUAGCAACCAACACAUACCAACCAAACCCAAGAGACUGCACUAUAAACCAGAUGCCAAUUCAUAAAGAACCCAAGAAAAGCUGUGCUGAGUUGGACAAAAGAUUCAUCUGGUCUGACAUGGAUCUCAAGAGCUCGUCUUCAUAAUUAUCCUGAACACUAAAGUGUCUCAGAGUCUGCUUCCUGGAAAACCCAAACUGCCACAGUUGGAGCCAGGAGAGAUCGAGAAAGCAGAUGAUAAGAUGGGGUUUUGAAGCUGGAUCACUACCCGGCUGGUAUGAGGACCUCAUCACUGGUGAUGGAUGGAGCACAGAUAGCCCCUGGCAUAAGGAGGACCUGGAGGAUACACCAUCUACCAAAUCAAUAAAGAAUGUGCUGGUGAAAGGGCACCAGAAUCACUAUGAAGUUCAGUAGCGGUUCUCUUUUGCAGGCUGGACUGAUGAUGUUGCAAUACUAAAUGGAUAAUGCAGCAAGGACAUGGCGACCAGGAGCCCAGACCUCUCUGGGUUGUGAAUCUAGAUCAUGACCCCAGAUAAGUCACUGAGGCCAAGAGAAGUGGUAGCUGAGAAUGAGAGGAAUUUAGAAAGGAUGGUUGAGAAAGGAGGCUGUAAGUUUCAAUUGCAGCCCCAAGACCAGCUGCAACAGAGAGGGCUAUCGUUUGUUCUACAAGCCUUCCUCUUCUCAGUCUCCCCAGGAGGAGAGGCUCAUCAGAAACCUGAAGAAGCUACUCCUCAAUGUACAUGAAGAAGUAGAUCCGGGAGCAGCACAGGGAAUGAACGUGGAGAUGACGCAUUGAGAUUUCCCUUUGCAGAGGGACUUCUUGUCCCAGCUCCUUGGGGCACUGUCAGCAGACAGCCUUUAGACUUUAGGCAGCAGAGAGCUGCCUUAUCAGAGCUCACACCCCUUUGGAGACAGCUUACAUCCAUUAACUGAUCAAGGCGUGGUUUUAAAGCCCAGCCAUUUCAGCCUGGUUUGGGGCAAUGCUGAAGGACCGUUUCAGCUCCAAAGCUCCUCAUGGGGUCAGUUCAGGCUACUGGACUUUCCUUAUAUGCAGCCUGCUUUUCCUUCCUUCUAAGCCUGCUUCCUUCUCUUCUAUUCCACAGGUGUCGAUCCCAAAGGCACUCCCUGAUAAACAUCCUGGACACUGAACUCUGACUCAGAGUCUUCUUCCUGCAGAGACUGAACUGUGAAAAUGCCCUGUCAUCACAAAUACUUUAGUAUGUAUUUUUUACUAGUGAAUAUUCAUCUAGAUAACCCCAGUACAAUACCAAAAUCAGGAAUUUAGCAUUGAUAUGUUACGGUGUAAUCCUCAUACCCCAACAGAUUUUGUCAGUGGUCCCAAUAGUGUCCUCUGUCCAGAAAUUAUGCGUUGUGUUUAGCUGUCUCUUCAGUCUUCAAUCUUGAAAGGUUCCCUGGUCUUUGCUUUACUUUCAUGACCUUGAUACUCUUUAAGAUUACGGCCACUUAUUUUUGUAGAAUGUCCCUCAGUCUGGGUUUGUCUGAGCUUUUGUGAUGAUUAAAUACAGGUUAUCUUUGGUGGAACGAUUAGAGAAGUGAUGCCAUGUUCUCAUUGUAUCCUAUUAGGUGGCACAUGACUUCAAUCUGUCAUGUCACUGGUGAUGCUAACUUGAUUAAGGUGGCAUCUGCCUUAUAAUUAAGUAUUUUGUGGGAAAGUACUUUGAGACCAUGUAAAUAUCGCAUUCUUCACCAUACUUCCUAGUUAUUCUUUUAAAAAUUUAUAUCUGUAUUAGCCAAGGAAUUCCUGUUUUAUUCAGUGGACAAUAACCCAUUACUGUCAUUAUUUUGACACUUAGACUGUUCCACAUUUGGUCGGUGGAAGCCCCUUCAAGUUGGCUUCUUUAUCCUUUUAACAUAACUCCAUCAUUCUUUUGCACUUCCUUGCUUGUUGCAUGAGACAGUCCAAGCUUAUUUUGUACUUUUCCUGCUCCAACCCUGGAAUCAGCCAUUUCUCCAAGGAGCUCUGGUUCCUUUUGGCAGAGAAUGGCAUUCAGAAACUAAGAUCUUGACGUUAGAUGUGCUCAUUGCUAUUGAGGUAUCACUGUUCUUAGGCCCUUUCAGCAGACAGAUCUAGGGAAUAUAUGAAAUAUAUGUAUGUAUGUGUAUAUAUGUAUUUAUGUAUAUAAAUUCACAUUUAUGUUUACACAAACACAUUUUACAUCUAUAUAUAUUCAGAAUCAUGAGUUCACACUGAUACCUCCAAUUUCAAUCCAACACCAACUAGUUCAUUCUAGGUUUUUCAUUAUUCAUAUAUGUAACUACCAUCUCUACCAGUAACAAAUAUAACUCCCAUUAUCCUUAGUAUGACUAUUAUAUUUCAUCCAUCCUUCUGUGCAUGAAUAAUCUCCUGUGAUUACCCCUUCCCCCUGUGUGGACACCUCCUCACCCUGCGCUGGGUGGCUGCUCUGCGCAGAUACCUUCUGUAUCUUGCUUGGGCUCCAGUGCCCCAGGCUGGACCAUCCGCUGCACAGUCACCUUCCUCACCCUGGUCUGACUCUGACACUCUGUGCCAGAUGGCCUUCCUUCAAUGGAUGGCCUCCUUACCCAGCUUGAUCUCUGCACCCACACUAGGCCUCCUUUCUUCCUCUCCCUUCCCCCUUCCCCAUGUGGAUAGCUAUCUUACCCUCAUUGGGUUCCAACACCUGGCAACCACAGGCUAACCCUCUGCAGGGACUCCAUUCUCACUGUGCUCAGGAUACCACACCGGUCUCCCUCUCCUUGGGGGGGACACGCUCCUCAUCCCAGUCAGGCCACCCUCCACACAGACACCCUUCUCACCUCUCUUGGCCUUUGACACCUGCACCUGGCUGACCUCUUACCCAGAUGCCCUCCUCACACCUUUCAGCCACCACAGUUCCAUACCCCCACCAAGGACACCAACCUUGCUUGGCUCCAUGAAUUGGCUUUUGGACUGAUUUGUACAGAAAAGGGAGGGAAGAGAAUGGGAAGGUAGAGGAAGAAGUGGCAGACCAUUAAUUCAUUCUCGGAAGUUCAUUUUUUUAAAGUUUUAUUUUUAUUUUAUUUAUUUAUUUUUGGGCCAUGCCACGUGGCUUGUGGGAUCUUAGUUCCCCGACCGGAGAUUGAACUGUGCCCUCAGAGUCCUAACCACUGGACCACCAGGGAAUUCUCUAAAGUUCAUUUUUAAUAGAAUCAUUUUUCUGAUAUUCACUUCUAUUUUGGUUUGGGGCUAGAUUUAUUUCUUUUUUUCUUUCUCUUUUUUUGGACUAGAUUUAUUUCUGACAUUAUGUCUGUUAAAUUCAUGUUUGCCAAAAGAGCCAAAGCUGCCUGCUCAGCCCAUUCCUUAUCUGUGAUGGCCACCAUCUCCUCUACCAGAACAAGAUGGCUCACAUAGGUCAAUACACAACAGGUUGCUCACCAUUCUUUUCGGUGGGGUUUUCGGGAUAAUAUAGAUAUGGGUGUGCAUAUUUACAAAAAGUGUAUCUUGCUUUAAUACUUCCAAUUUCUUUUCCCUGUUUCCUUUUUUUUCUCUUCCUAUCAAAACUGUUAAUCUUGCUAGGUCCGUUUAAAUAGAACCUCAGUUGCCUCUAAAUUUCUCCUAGACUUUUUCCCAUAGGAAGAUACUUCAAAGGUAUCUCCAGAUCCCAAUAAGAAUGGAUUAUUCGCUAUUCUUCAAAUAUGCCCCAGGCUGUUCUACGUGUGAGCCUUUAUUCAUGCUGGUGCUUCUGCCUGGUCUGUCCUCUCAUUGCUUCUCCAAAGAUCAAGCCCUACAUCCUGCAAAGUACACUUCAUAUGCUACCUCCUACCAAAGUCUUUGUAAAUAUCCCCAACUCUGGACCCCAAUCGAACUUUGUAUGUAUUUAAUGACAAAGAUCCUGUUCUGACAUGUUAUCAUUGCUGGGAGACAGGAAACUAGUUCCUUAGGUACAGGUACCAUUCUUUUUCAUUUAAUUUCCCCCGGAGGCCUUGCACAUAGUAGAGACUACACAUGUUUGUUGAAAUGAAACAUAAUCAAGGUUUCUAUACUUUAUAUUAAUUUUUCUUUUUACAUAGUACACUCUUCAAAACAAUUAAACUCCCUAGUAGUUUUUUCUGGCAUGAGACCUAAAUUUUUUCCCUCAUAGAAGAGAAUGAUGUUUAGUUUUGCUAUCCAAAGGACAAGAAAGUUAAUGUGUUCAUCUUUUUUCCAAUAUGAUGAAAUAGGUUGUAUUAGUAUACCAAGAGGUACAAUCUAAUCUCAAAGCAAAUUCAUAUUUGCCUAUGCAAGCCUAUAUUUUUAUCCUGCAUAAAUGGUACACCAUUUUGACUUUUGAAAUUAUUAAAUAUUGACAUUGUCCUAGAACAUAUGCAUUACUUUGCAUAGUGAAUAAAAUCAUAUUUUCACCUGCAGAGAGAUGGCCCCAAUUACUCACUCCCCACAGGAAUUAUGUAACUACAGUAGGAGACCGACCUGCUUCUUUUGUGUUGGUCUUAGACUGGAUUCUCAUAAUCUGUUCCAAAGUAGGGCAGUAUCAAAAAUCUAGGCUGCUUUGUCAUAUUUUUUUUCUCCAUUUAACUGUUUACUGCACGGGCAAUCAUUAGAUUGUAAACUCUUUGACUCGGAGGUGUCUUCCAAGUCUUUUGUAUCCUUCUUUUGGAGGUGACGAUAGCAUACUGUAGAUGUGCAAUUUCACCAAAAUAGUCUUAGAGUGCUUGACUUCACUGGGCCCUCACUACUAAGCUUGUGUUCAGAAGCCAAAAAUACGGACUUUUAGUGUCCUUCUCCUGCAAGUUCUUACUGCUUUUAGACCUCUGUUUAUCCCUAGUGGCCUGAUAGCUAUUGCACCAAGUUUUUAGAGUUGGAAGUCUAAUGAAUUUUAAGCUUCUCUGUCUAUGUCAAGCCUUGAAAUUGGAAGAACUGAGUAGAGAAAGAAGGGUUGGGGACCAUGAAGAGCUUUUCUGCUUUGUAAGAGAACUCCUUCUGACAGGUAUCUGUGGUAGGCUGAGUUAUGGCUCCCCAAAAAUGUCCAUGUCCUAAUCCCCGGACUCUGUGGAUAUUACCUUGCAUGGCAAACAAACAAACAACCCCAAAAUUCUAAGACUUUGCAGGUAUGAUUGAGGAUUUUAAAAUGGGGAGAUUAUUCUGGAUUAUCUGAGUGGGACCUAAAUGCAAUUCCAUGCAUCCUUAGAAUAGGAUGACAGGAGAUGUGACACAUAGGAGAGAAGGCGAUAUGACUAUGGAGGCAGAGAAUGGAGUGAUGUGGCCACAAGCCAAGAGGUGCCAGCAGCCACUAGAAGCUGCAAGAAGCAAGAAACAGGUUGUCCUACUGUCUCUGGAGGGAACACAGCCCUGCUGGCAUCUUUAUUCAACCCAGUGAAACUGAUGAACUUCUGGCCUCCAGGAAUGUGAAAGAAUAAAUUUCUGUUGUUUUAAGCCAUCAGGCUGUGUGGUAAUUUGUUACAGCAGUUACAGGAAACUAAUACAGUAUCCUGUAUCUCAGAUGUUUCUAUAUUUUCUUUUUACUGCUCCCCUUCUUUAGCCUAUAUGUAUGUGUAUAUCCCAUUUUGUUCUUUCUUUUCUUCCUGACAGAUUUUUUUCCUGGGGGUGUCCCUAAGAAAACAACUUUUCAUACCCUUUCCAAUUACUUCGAUGUUGGGUUUCAAAACAAUUUAAUAAACAUUUAGGGACCAUCCACUGUGCCUCUAACAUUGUUUAGAGACUUUGGGGGGACAUAAAGAAUAAACAUAAACUCCACCCUGAAGUAUCUGUAAAUUAAUUAAGAAACAGUUUACAUAAUGUAUGACCCAAUGUGUGCUAAAGUGCAAAGAUAAAUACCAAAGACAGGAAGUGCUGUAGAAAUUCAGAAAAGUGAGUAACCUGUGAGGAGUAUGGAGUAAAUUGGGUGGGUUUUAUUGAAUAGGUGGAUUUUGAAGGCCGGCAUUUGGACAAAAGGAGAGGAGUUUAGAUUUCAUCCUCUGGGCAGUGGUAAUUCAUCAAGAAUUGCAUCCCCACUGUUAUUUCUUUUUGCAGUAUGAAAGUAAUCUAGGCUUUUCUUAAAACAUUUCAGUGAUAUAAAAA